GCCCACAGAUUUUUUUUCAGGCAGAGCCACUCGGCUCCACCUUCGGAAACACGGGUCGGGCUUUCUCCAGUAGGAUGGCGGGAGGGAAUUAGGUGGGGCGUCUGGGACUUAAAGGGGCGACACCACUGCCGCCCCUGUCCAUAACAAUGUGCCCUCUGCGAUCCUGGAGGCUCAGGAGCAUGUGCAGGGAUUUGAUGGCAGCUGGAGGGGUACAAGAAGGGAGUUUAUACGGCCUAAAGUGGGCAAUAUGUGGAGUGUUCCCCCAAUUCGUCUGCCCCCGAAAAAGGUGUUCGUUAAGAGAGGGCGCCCUUUCCCGUCCCCCUCCUGAGUGUCCCUCCUGGAACUUCAAGGGGUCGCUGUCCUCUCUUUACCCACUUCCCAAGUGCCUCUUUCCCCAGUCUCUCACUCACGGACCCUCUUCUGUCUGGGUAGACGAAGGAUCUGGGAAGGCGGGCCAAUUAGCACAGGAACUGGAGAGGUGCGGAAUCCAGUUUCGCAGGGAAGAUUUAGGCAGUUGUCCCCACCUCCUGACUUCCGGUCCUGGUCGUCGGAACAAGGCCGUGGCCGCGAUGGAGGAACCUGAGAUGCAGCUCAAGGGGAAAAAAGUCACAGACAAAUUCACUGAGAGCGUCUAUGUCCUGGCCAACGAGCCAUCCGUGGCCCUGUACCGGCUGCAGGAGCACGUGCGACGCUCUCUGCCUGAGCUGGCCCAGCAUAAGGCUGACAUGCAGCGGUGGGAGGAGCAGAGCCAGGGAGCCAUCUACACAGUGGAGUAUGCCUGCAGUGCUGUGAAGAACCUUGUCGACAGCAGCGUCUACUUCCGCAGCGUGGAGGGUCUCCUCAAACAGGCCAUCAACAUCCGAGACCACAUGAACGCCACAGCCCAGGGCCACAGGUAGCUCCCGGGACCACCCUCCCCUGCUGCUCUCAGCCUCCUUGCUGUCAGGACCUCCGCUGCUCAGCCAGGAACUGCCACUGCUCGCUCCUUAGACAACUCCCUUUCUUCGCCUCACGGUGUCUCGUGACUUCCUCUCGCCCUUUGGCGUCUGUAGCAGGAGAGUUCAGUCUCUCAGCACCCAGCUCCUGAGCUCUGCCGGGUGCCUGGCCCUGGGCUGGGUGCCGGGGACAUGGCAGCGACCAAGACAGGUGUGCCCAUGGUCUCACAGGGAGACGCACAGCAACCAGCCCUGAGGAACUGCCCCCGCCCUCCUCGGCCUGAUCCCAGAAGAGACUUGGAGGUGCUUUGGCCCCUCUGACCCAGGACCCUGCCUCAGCUACCACCUCAUCAGGGCUACCCUGCCACCCUGGGGAGUCUCUCAGACCUUGCCUUGACCCAUCUCCUGCCCCCCAGCUCCUCCAGAGCUGGGCCUUCGGACACAGCCUUGUGGGACUUGGAGGGGACUGAAGACCAAGCAAGUGUGGCCAGCGUGUUCCUUCUGCUCCUGCCUGGGGCCUCCAGGCCAGCCGUGAAUGUCCUGAGACAAGGCUUUGCUGCCCCUGGAUUCUUACCUGCCUGCCCAUUGAUGGACACGGCCAUGGCCAUGGCCCCUUGGACCAAUAACUGCCACCAUGACAAUCCUGAUCACACACCUGCCAUGUGCCCAGGGCUGUGCUGGGGACUUCACCAAGGCCAUCUUUCAUCCUCAGACAGCCCUGUAAGGCAAAUGUCACCCCAAAUACAGAUGGGAAAAGAGAGGCUCUGAGAGAUGGCAUGAUUUGUGUGAGGUCACACAACUAGAGAGAGCAGACCCCAGCCUAGUUUGGCCCCAGCUCUGCCUCUGACAUGCUGUGUGAUAUGGGGCCUUGUGCUGACCCUCUCUGGUCCUACCUUUUUCCACCUGGACAAGGAACCCUGGACUGGACCUUCUUUACAGGCUGAGGCAGACAUUUGUGUACCUGCCUGCCUGGACUGCAUUCUACCUCAAGCAGAAAUGCCCACCACAAGCUCAGGUCAUAUGGAGAAGCCACCCUAGCUCCAGGGGUGGCCUGGCUAAUCAGAAUCCCCCAUCUCCCAGGUCACAGUGAUUGGUUUGAGAUGGGCAUGUGAUCCAAUGAGAGGUUUCCCCUGGGAAUUUUGCUGGAAAAGUGCAAAAAGUACCAUCUUCCUUCUGUGGUUGUUGAGCUGGGCAGAUAGAAGGGGCAGCCUGAGAACACUGCAUGGGGCCCUGGAUCCAGCUGUACCUGAUACUAGCAAAUUCCAAUUCUUCAGUUUCACGAGUCUCUAAAAUUUCUUUGCCAGAA